AGAGUUUGAUCCUGGCUCAGGAUGAACGCUAGCUACAGGCUUAACACAUGCAAGUCGAGGGGCAGCAUGGACCCAGCUUUGCUGGGUUUGAUGGCGACCGGCGCACGGGUGAGUAACGCGUAUCCAACCUGCCCUUUACUCCGGGAUAGUCUCCUGAAAGGGAGUUUAAUACCGGAUGUGUUUGUCUUUCCGCAUGGGAGCGACAAAUAAAGAUUGAUUGGUAAAGGAUGGGGAUGCGUCCCAUUAGCUCGUUGGCGGGGUAACGGCCCACCAAGGCGACGAUGGGUAGGGGUUCUGAGAGGAAGGUCCCCCACAUUGGAACUGAGACACGGUCCAAACUCCUACGGGAGGCAGCAGUGAGGAAUAUUGGUCAAUGGGCGGGAGCCUGAACCAGCCAAGUAGCGUGAAGGACGACGGCCCUACGGGUUGUAAACUUCUUUUAUAAGGGAAUAAAGUUCGCCACGUGUGGUGUUUUGUAUGUACCUUAUGAAUAAGCAUCGGCUAAUUCCGUGCCAGCAGCCGCGGUAAUACGGAAGAUGCGAGCGUUAUCCGGAUUUAUUGGGUUUAAAGGGAGCGUAGGCGGGCUUUUAAGUCAGCGGUCAAAUGUCACGGCUCAACCGUGGCCAGCCGUUGAAACUGCAAGCCUUGAGUCUGCACAGGGCACAUGGAAUUCGUGGUGUAGCGGUGAAAUGCUUAGAUAUCACGAAGAACUCCGAUCGCGAAGGCAUUGUGCCGGGGCAUAACUGACGCUGAGGCUCGAAAGUGCGGGUAUCAAACAGGAUUAGAUACCCUGGUAGUCCGCACGGUAAACGAUGAAUGCUCGCUAUGGGCGAUAUAUUGUCCGUGGCCAAGCGAAAGCGUUAAGCAUUCCACCUGGGGAGUACGCCGGCAACGGUGAAACUCAAAGGAAUUGACGGGGGCCCGCACAAGCGGAGGAACAUGUGGUUUAAUUCGAUGAUACGCGAGGAACCUUACCCGGGCUUGAAUUGCAGGUGCAUGAGUCAGAGAUGAUUCUUUCCUUCGGGACUCCUGUGAAGGUGCUGCAUGGUUGUCGUCAGCUCGUGCCGUGAGGUGUCGGCUUAAGUGCCAUAACGAGCGCAACCCUUCUCCCCAGUUGCCAUCGGGUAAUGCCGGGCCCUCUGGGGACACUGCCAUCGUAAGAUGCGAGGAAGGUGGGGAUGACGUCAAAUCAGCACGGCCCUUACGUCCG
rnacentral:rRNA from 1 species